rnacentral:tRNA from 1 species
UCCCUGGUGGCUUAGCUGGUAAAGAAUCUGCCUGCAAUGCAGGCGACCUAGGUUCAAUCCCUGGGUGGGGAA